rnacentral:rRNA from 1 species
AUUGAACGCUGGCGGCAGGCUUAACACAUGCAAGUCGAACGAGUGGCGGACGGGUGAGUAAUGUUUGGGAAUCUAGCUUAUGGAGGGGGAUAACUACGGGAAACUGUAGCUAAUACCGCGUACUAUAUGAUCAGCCCAAGUGGGAUUAGGUAGUUGGUGAGGUAAAGGCUCACAAAGCCGACGAUCUCUAGCUGGUCUGAGAGGAUGACCAGCCAAACUGGAGCGGAGACACGGCCCAGACUCAAACGGGAGGCAGCAGUGGGGUAUAUUGCGCAAUGGGGGCAACCUGACGCAGCCAUGCCGCGUGAAUGAAGAAAGCCUUCGGGUUGUAAAGUACUUUCGGUAGCGAGGCGUUAACUACAGAAGAAGAACCGGCUAACUCCGUGCGAGCAGCCGCGGUAAUAC